rnacentral:lncRNA from 1 species
GGUCGGCGCUCCACAUCAAACCGAUCUGCAUUGACUAACUAUGGUCAUCGUUCACGUCAAACUUAGCAAAUGAUGUCAGUUAGCCUCAGGUAUAGAAAAGAUGAGAAGAGUGAUAAGUGCGAAAGUGGCGUGCUGCCGUAAAGUAAGAGAAUUUAUGAAUUUAUAAAAAAAAUCGUAGUAACGAUCUAAUUAGUUACAUUCAAUAUUAUAUUUGAGAUUAAUGAACUAGUUGCUACCUAUAUAACCUAUAAUCAAUUGAACUGUGGACUGUCGGUUAGAUUUGGAUUUAAAAAUACAAUAUAAUCCAUUCUAACUACAGGAGCCUCGCAGAACCGAUAAUUGAUCUAAGGAGUGUGUCUACCCAGGAGAAUAAUGGGAAUGAACUAAAUGUAAG